rnacentral:rRNA from 1 species
UUUUACCUACGGGGGGCAGCAGUGGGGGAUAUUGCACAAUGGGGGGAACCCUGAUGCAGCGACGCCGCGUGGGUGAAGAAGCGCCUCGGCGCGUAAAGCCCUGUCAGCAGGGAAGAAAAUGACGGUACCUGAAGAAGAAGCCCCGGCUAACUACGUGCCAGCAGCCGCGGUAAUACGUAGGGGGCAAGCGUUAUCCGGAUUUACUGGGUGUAAAGGGAGCGUAGACGGCAGUGCAAGUCUGAAGUGAAAGCCCCGGGCUUAACCCGGGAAUUGCUUUGGAAACUGUACGGCUGGAGUGCUGGAGG